UGGGAAAUAUUGGACAAUGGGCGAAAGCCUGAUCCAGCCAUGCCGCGUGUGUGAAGAAGGUCUUCGGAUUGUAAAGCACUUUAAAUUGGGAGGAAGGGCAGUAAGCGAAUACCUUGCUGUUUUGACGUUACCGACAGAAUAAGCACCGGCUAACUCUGUGCCAGCAGCCGCGGUAAUACAGAGGGUGCAAGCGUUAAUCGGAAUUACUGGGCGUAAAGCGCGCGUAGGUGGUUCGUUAAGUUGAAUGUGAAAGCCCCGGGCUCAACCUGGGAACUGCAUCCAAAACUGGCGAGCUAGAGUGUGGGAGAGGAUGGUAGAAUUCCAGGUGUAGCGGUGAAAUGCGUAGAGAUCUGGAGGAAUACCGAUGGCGAAGGCAGCCAUCUGGCCUAACACUGACGCUGAGGUACGAAAGCAUGGGGAGCAAACAGG
rnacentral:rRNA from 1 species